UACGUAGGGUGCGAGCGUUGCCCGGAUUUAUUGGGCGUAAAGGGCGCGUAGGUGGUUCUGUGUGCUCCGCGUGAAAUCGCCCGGCUCAACCGGGCGGGGUCGCGGAUGACUACAGGACUGGAGCCUGGGAGGGGGAAGCGGAAUUCCCGGUGUAGCGGUGGAAUGCGUAGAGAUCCGGAAGAACACCGGUGGCGAAGGCGGCCUGCUGGGCAGUAGCCGAAAGGCUUGAAAGCUGACGCUGGAGGCGACGACAGCGUGGGGAGCAAACAGG
rnacentral:rRNA from 1 species